UACGUAGGUGGCAAGCGUUGUCCGGAAUUAUUGGGCGUAAAGCGCGCGCAGGUGGUUUCUUAAGUCUGAUGUGAAAGCCCCCGGCUCAACUGGGGAGGGUCACGCGAUACUGAUCGACUCGAAGGCAGGAGAGGGUAGUGGAAUUCCCGGUGUAGUGGUGAAAUGCGUAGAUAUCGGGAGGAACACCAGUGGCGAAGGCGACUACCUGGCCUGUUCUUGACGCUGAGGCGCGAAGGUCAGGGGAGCAAACGGG
rnacentral:rRNA from 1 species